AGUUUGAUCCUGGCUCAGAUUGAACGCUGGCGGCAUGCCUUACACAUGCAAGUCGAACGGCAGCGGGGGAAAGCUUGCUUUCCUGCCGGCGAGCGGCGGACGGGUGAGUAAUGUCUGGGAAACUGCCUGAUGGAGGGGGAUAACUACUGGAAACGGUAGCUAAUACCGCAUAACGUCGCAAGACCAAAGAGGGGGACCUUCGGGCCUCUUGCCAUCAGAUGUGCCCAGAUGGGAUUAGCUAGUAGGUGGGGUAAUGGCUCACCUAGGCGACGAUCCCUAGCUGGUCUGAGAGGAUGACCAGCCACACUGGAACUGAGACACGGUCCAGACUCCUACGGGGAGGCAGCAGUGGGGAAUAUUGCACAAUGGGCGCAAGCCUGAUGCAGCCAUGCCGCGUGUAUGAAGAAGGCCUUCGGGUUGUAAAGUACUUUCAGCGGGGAGGAAGGUGUUGAGGUUAAAACCUCAGCAAUUGACGUUACCCGCAGAAGAAGCACCGGCUAAUUCCGUGCCAGCAGCCGCGUAAUACGGAGGGGUGCAAGCGUUAAUCGAAUUACGGGGCGUAAGCGCAACGCAGGCGGUCUGUCAGUCGAAGGU
rnacentral:rRNA from 1 species